GGCUUGAAACUGGGAGGCAGAGGCUACUGUGAGCCGAGAUCACACCACUGCACUCCAGCCUGGGCAACAGGAGCAAAACUCCAUCUCAAAAAACAAAAAACCAAAAACACACGCUCUGUCACACUGACGUCACACUGAUGACAGCCAAUUUUUGUGAACCAAGGAAGUGUCAAUUCAAUAAUCAGCAUAGAUGUUUACUUUGGCUAUCUCCUAUGUGCCAAGCAAGAUAUAGGCUCUGGGGAAUCAGAAACAAAAGAGACUCAAUUGUUCCUCUCACAAUACUCAGUACUUACUGAGACAAGGACAAAAUAAGAUGUCCUGUCUGGAAUGCAGGGACACAAGAACUUCAGGUCAGGGGAUAUUUCCGUUGAACCGUUUGGAGUUUAAGCUGAAAAUAUUAACGAAUGUAUCUAAAGUUCACUUUGCCUUGACUUUAUGCAUCCAUCACAUAGAGAUCACGCAGCGGGCACCCACUAUGGGUUUCAUCAUCGCUCACUUCCCUUGGAUCAACUAGAAAUCAACUCAGAUGAGAGUGCUGAGUCUCAGAGGAUGGACGUCUCACUCCUUGCCAUACAGAUAAGUAGAAAGGGUGGUAUUGAAAUUAAUGGCCAGACUCUAAGUCCCGGGCACUAUACUUGAUGGUCUCCCAACCCUCAAAAUGUUGUGGGUUCUUUUUUGUUUUUGAGACGGAGUCUCAUUCUGUUUCCCAGGCUGGAGUGCAGUGGAGCGAUCUCGGCUCACUGCAACCUCCGCAUCCCAGGUUCAAGCUAUUCUCUUGCCUCAGCCUGCCGAGUAGCUGAGAUUUCAGGCGCCCGCCACUACGCCUGGCUUAUUUUUUUCUCUUUUUAGGAGAGACGGGGUUUCACCGUGUUGGCUAGGCUGGUCUCGAACACCUGACCUUGUGAUUUGCCUGCCUCAGCCUCCCAAAGUGCUGGGAUAACAGGCGUGAGCCACCACGCCCAGCUUCAAAAGUUUUCAACAGAGCUCAGAGGUCUUAACCACAGGCACAUCCGAGGAGCAUUUUUGAAAUGGUUUCCAGCUUCCUCAAUAGGAAUGGAAGCCAAACCCGGAACUGAUGGCUCCUUGGAGGAAGUCGAGAGCUGUAAGGAAAGCCAGGAACAGGGGCAAGGGAGAGAUGCAUCCCGAAUGAUCCUGUGCCAAUUCUUUCUGGAAUCUUUGAUGUGAUCUCCGCUGCCCUUUCCAUACUUGACACAGUGAUUGUGGCACCCACUGGUCUAGCUGUGGUCUACAAGGAACCCCCAAAGGGAAGGGCACAGUGAGCAGGGGCAUCGGCCUGAGUGACAAGGAUUGGAGGGGGCAGGUUGGAUGCAGGGAGAGGACUGGCCAAAUGCCAUGUGUCUGGCUUAGACUACCUUGUUCAAAUUGGGCUUCACCAUUUUUGACUUCGUGAUCUGGUACAAGUUAUAUGAAAAUGUGUUGCUCCUUUUCUAGUCUGUAAAAUCAUAAGGAAAUGUGCACUAAUAACUGGGAGACUAUGCAGAUGAAAUGAAACAAGCUGCAUAGAACACAGAGCUCAGAGCCUGGCCUUUAGGAAGCCCUCAGUAAGGGUUCAUGAUGCCAUGGUGUCUGUCAUCAUCCUCUUUAUCCUCAUCAUCACCUUCAUCAUCUUUUUGUUGUUCUGAGGGCAUACUUUAGAGGGACUCAUUCCCUGCUCUCAUGGGUGAGAUGUCUAUGAAGAGGACAACCAGUGGGGGAGGGAAGCAAAAUUUUGAAGAAGAUUCCUGAGAGAGAUCCCCCACCACAACCAAGAACAGAAACUCCACAGUCUGCUGAGCUGACAGUUUGCACAUUGGUCUCCUCCCAUCUGCCCACGGCACUCUCCCGUUUGUCCUGAAGAUGAGGAAACAAACAAGGCUCCCGACCGUCCCUCAGCACUCACUGAACGGCCCUUCCCCUCUGCUGGGCCAUGACCACGGAGAACAGGUCCACUGUCCUCCCUGAGUGGUGCACAUGGGAGGCUCAGACUCCGUCCUCAAGGCUGGUAAGAAGACAGGGUGAGACAUGAGCCUCCUGAUACAGGUGACGGGUGUGGAGCCCACAGGACUGCAACCUCACACUGCAGGGCUGGAGGCACAGACUGAGUAUUUCCUAUUCUAUGGCCUGGGGGGCUCAAGGCACAGAGCUCCUCAUUAGCCAGAGUCGCCCAUGUUCCCCAUGCUCUAAGGAUUUCCUCAUCAUCAUGCAAGAAGAAGAAUAGAAAAAAGGAAGAGGAAGAAACAAAAGGAACUUCUCUCUUAGAUUUAAUUCUGACCUACCAGGAAGAACUGGAUUGUUGAAGCAGAAGUACUGGAGUCUCUGGAGCUAAAACCAAGGAUAAGAACAUUAAGAUUAUCCUGCUGGAGAGAGAGGCCAUGCGGAAGAACCCUGGAAAAUGAGACAGCUCACAGAGCAAGAGGCCAUGUGGAGAAGGCCUAGAAGUAAAAUGCCUCAUGGAACAAGAGGCCACAUGCAGAAGGCCUGGAGGAUGAGACGCCCUGUGAAGUGAGAGGCCACGUGGAGAAGGCCUAGAGGAGGAGACACCUUAUGGAGCAAGAGGCCGAAUGGAGAAGCCCCAGAGGGUUAGACACCUUGUGGAGCAAGAGGUCACACGCAGAAGUCCUGGGAGUGAGAUGCCUCACGAAGCGAGAUGCCUCGUGAAGCGAGAUGCCUCGUGGAGUGAGAGGCCAUGUGGAAGAACCCUGGAACUCAGCGGCUGAUAACACAAAGAUCCCAUGGUGUGAGAGAGGCCUUCAUGAACUUCCCGUCCAGCCCAGCUAGAGCCAAAUGGAGCCAUAUGUGUGACCGCAAGUGACAUCUACAAAAGAACGACCCAGUCACCCUGAGAAUUGUUAGAAAUGCAAAGCACUAAGUUUUGGGGUAGUUUGUUACACAGCAAUAGCUAACUGAUACAGAUGGUUUGAAUUACUUGACUUUAAAGUUCCUUCUUACCCUGAAAGUUUAUGGCUUAGUAAAGUGAAUUAAGCACAUUUGACUGAAACAGAGAGAUGGUGUAGGAAAAGAUCAGAAGGUAAGGGCAGGGCAAGGUGAGGAAGGCUUUCCGUGCCACGAUAAGGAAUUUGAGCUUUAACUGGUAGGUUCUGAAGCUGUCCCAGGAGGAAGUGACAUGAGAAGAUAGUUUUUUAGGAAGACCCACACUGCAGCAGCAUGUAGAUCAGACACGUGGGCACACAGAGCAGAUGUGAGAGAGAAGGAGGCAUGGAGACCUGAUUGCUGAGGCAAAAAGAUGCAGCUGACAAUUAUGGAGCAACAAGCUACUGAAUACAGAAUUGAACAUUCAGUCUUCAAGACACAGAUGUAAGCUGCUUUCUCUGUAUCAGCCUUCUCUGUAUCAACUCUUCAUUUUUUCCAACUAUGAUGUUUUUACUUUCAAAAAUCCAUGGGAGAAUACAUGGUAUGUCGUUAAAAGCCUGGGAUUUGAAAUAAGAAAGCCUUAGCUUUAAACCCCUUCUCUCACCUUCUAGCUGUGUAACUCUGGGCAAGUUACUGAACCUUGCUGUAUCGCAGCUUCUUCAUUUGUAAAAUGGAUAUAAUGAUAUUUGUCUCACAGGAGUAAUGCAAAGAUAAAAACGGAUUAUGUCUCAUGCAUUUACUUUUACUAAAUGGCUAAAUGCUCAAGCAACACAAAUACAUGAUUAUUUCUCUUUCACGUAACAGUCCAGGUUGGGAGUGUCAGGUUGAGGGGUGGAUCUUUUUCACAUCUUCUUGAAAGAAUUCGUGGUAAAAGCUGUCUUCAGUUUAUGCCUUCCAAGGUUCUUUUGGCCAUCGCCAUUCCAGAAAGAAGAGGAGAAGAGAGCAUGAAGGAGCCCGCCUAACAUGUUUUAUCUGGCUUCUCAGAAAUGGCACAUGCUUCUACUUGCAUUCCAUUGGCAAGAACACACGGCACACCAGCUGCCCACGGGGAUAGGGAAUCCCAGCUAGAAUUCCAUCCAAUAGAAGACAGAGGGGAGAGAAGAGCAGGGUAUUGGUAUCCACGCAAUUCAUCCAUUUAUUCCUCAAGCAUGUGUUAAGCGUUUGGCGAUGCUUCACGAUGUUGGACUCUGGACAUUCACAGAAGAUGAACACAUCUCACAAAAGGUGAAAAUGUUUAAAUCACCUGGGAUAAAGAACAUUCAGGGUUGAAAGAAUACAUGUUUGGUUAUAAUACUGCUUAUUAAGCAAGUAGAAAAUUAGAGUAAAUAUCAGCCCUUUAAGAAGACAGAUCUUCCAGAGAGCCUUAAAGGCAAGGUGGGCAUUUGAUGGUUUUAUCUGGGAACAUGCACUCCAGGUUCACCGUGAGCAGGUGAGAGACAUGGCUACACCUCUGAAAUGCUGCAAGUUCAUUUUUGAAGGAUUUGUCAUAGUAAAACAGAAAAAGUUCCCUUAUCCCCCUUACAGGGCGUGACAAGGGGAGUGGCUCCCUUCUUCCGCGCCCUGCAGCCUAAACCCCUAGGGAGAGCAUGCAGUCGGGCAGGUAGUAGGGAGCGUGGGCUCCAACCCCACCGCAGCGUCUAGGGUUGAGUGUUUACAGUUUUCGAAGCCCCGGUGAGCGUGUGUUGCAGCGUGCUUUUUCAGCUUAGCCAUCCGCAGGCGGCUUGUAUUAAUCAGCUCAAUUAGACCCUCUGCCUUAUCGCAAGGACAGAGGGCUUUUUGUAUCCUGGGGUUCUUGCCUAGUGUACUGGAAAAAUCUGAUCAUACAUGGGCUUGGAGAAUGAGUGCAAGGUUUUAUUGAGUGGUGGAAGUAGCUCUUAGCAGAUGGAUGGGAAGCCGGAAGAGGGAUGGAGUGGGAAGGGGUCUUCCCCUGGAGUCAGGCCGCUCAGUGGCUGGGCUUGCUUCUGACUGCCCUCUGCCAAAUUUCCCUCAGCGUCUGCGUGGUUCCACCGUCGAUGGCCUGCUAGUGUUUUUCUGCGAGUGUGUUCCUCUCGACGCCCAGCUGCUUGUACAUGUGCCCACUAGGGUCUCUCGGGUUUCUAUGGGCAUGGGAUGGCGGGGGGUUGUGGCGGGCCAGGGUGGUCUUGGAAAAUGCAACUUUUGGGCGUGAAAACAGGAAUGCCUGUCCUCACUUAGGUCCGUGGGCACAGGCCUGAGGGUGGAGCCCUGGCCAGGGACCCCAUCCUUCUCUACCCAGCACCUCCCUGCCCCCUCCCGUAUCAAUAGCAAUGAUGAAGGACUCACGCAGCCAUCUUUUCAGGAGCAUGUGACAGCCUGCAUGACCGGAGCCAAUGGUGAAUGUUUAAAUUCUGGGUCCCGAAGCAAUAUCUUGGGAAGGGCCUUCCUCUGUCCCACAGCUUCUAAAAAUGUUCUGUGCUUAUAGUAUUGGCUCAGUUUUGUGGAUGUGUUUCUGGGAUUAUUCAGUGACCUCAGACAGGCUGCUCCAAGUCUCCCUGGACCACCUGCGUAGUUCAGCCAUAUUCUACAGUGAGCACUUAGAUCUGGAUUUUGUCUGGAAACUCAAGUAUAAGACCUAGCACCACUUGCCAAGGACCUCUGCUUUGCUUUGGUAGGCCAAGGGUCUGGCUCUGUUACCCAGGCUGGAUUGCAGUGGUGCAAUCUCGGCUCCUGUAACCUUCACCUCCUGUAACCUUCACCUCCUGGGCUCAACCCAUCCUCUGGCCUCAGCCUCCUGAGGAACUGGGACUUACAGGUGUGCCACCACACACAGCAAUUUUUUUUUUUUUUGUAUUUUUGGUAGAGAUGGGGUUUCAUCAUGUUGGUCAGGCUGGUCUCUAACUCCUGGGCUCAAGUGAUCUGCCCAUCUCAGCCUCCCAAAGUGCUGGGAUUAUAGGCGUGAGCCACCGCACCAAGCCCUACUUUGUAUUUUGAAUAGAAGCAACAGCAGUGAUGGGAUUCGUACUCCAAACCUCAGCGUCACACAACAUUCCCAUGCAGCAAAUCUGCACAUGUAUCCUCUGUAUCUAAAAUAAAAGUUGAAAUGUUUUUAAAAAGAAGCAAUGGUAGCACUCUGUUUUAAACUAAUGUUAAUGUUCUCAAAGCCACAGUGGAAGAAAUCCACUACAUAUCACCUAGAACUGGAGAUCUAAUCUGACAGGUGGGCCACAGUACUAAUAAUGUGAGCACAAUUCCUAUACAAAAUUUUAUUAAACUGUAUUAGUUGAGCAGACAAAACUACACAGACACUCUUCUCUCUGCCUUGUUCCUUCUUGUACUCUG
rnacentral:lncRNA from 1 species